rnacentral:rRNA from 1 species
GUCUAAGACCAUACCACCUUCAACAUGCCCAGAUCUCAUUUGAUCACAGAAACUAACCAGGGUCAGGAGUGAUUACUACAUGGAUGGGAGAAAGUAAGAAGACAGGGACA